AGUGUGAAAGCCUGCGUUUCCGGCCCGUGGGGCUCCAAUCAAAAUCGGACGCCUGCUGGCGGUAACGACAGGCCGGGGCCCCGCCCCUCACAGUAGGGCGUGUGGCGUCACUUCCGGCUUCCUUCUGUCGGCUGGCCACGAGCUGUGAGGGGAUUCACUUGUGUGCGGAACUCCUCGGAACCAUGGCGUCCCUUUCCCUUGCACCUGUUAACAUCUUCAAGGCAGGAGCUGAUGAAGAGAGAGCAGAGACAGCUCGUCUGACUUCUUUUAUUGGUGCCAUCGCCAUUGGAGACUUGGUAAAGAGCACCUUGGGACCCAAAGGCAUGGACAAAAUUCUUCUAAGUAGUGGACGAGAUGCCUCUCUUAUGGUAACCAAUGAUGGUGCCACUAUUCUAAAAAACAUUGGUGUUGACAAUCCAGCAGCUAAAGUUUUAGUUGAUAUGUCAAGAGUUCAAGAUGAUGAAGUUGGUGAUGGCACUACCUCUGUUACCGUUUUAGCAGCAGAAUUAUUAAGGGAAGCAGAAUCUUUAAUUGCAAAAAAGAUUCAUCCACAGACCAUCAUAGCGGGUUGGAGAGAAGCCACGAAGGCGGCAAGAGAGGCGCUGUUGAGUUCUGCAGUUGAUAAUGGUUCCGAUGAAGUUAAAUUCCGUCAAGAUUUAAUGAAUAUUGCGGGCACAACAUUAUCCUCAAAACUUCUUACUCAUCACAAAGACCACUUUACAAAGUUAGCUGUAGAAGCAGUUCUCAGACUGAAAGGCUCUGGCAACCUGGAGGCAAUUCAUAUUAUCAAGAAGCUAGGAGGAAGUUUGGCAGAUUCCUAUUUAGAUGAAGGAUUUCUGUUGGAUAAAAAAAUUGGAGUAAAUCAACCAAAACGAAUUGAAAAUGCUAAAAUUCUUAUUGCAAAUACUGGUAUGGAUACAGACAAAAUAAAGAUAUUUGGUUCCCGGGUAAGAGUUGACUCUACAGCAAAGGUUGCAGAAAUAGAACAUGCGGAAAAGGAAAAAAUGAAGGAGAAAGUUGAACGUAUUCUUAAGCAUGGAAUAAAUUGCUUUAUUAACAGGCAAUUAAUUUAUAAUUAUCCUGAACAGCUCUUUGGUGCUGCUGGUGUCAUGGCUAUUGAGCAUGCAGAUUUUGCAGGUGUGGAACGCCUAGCUCUUGUCACAGGUGGUGAAAUUGCCUCUACCUUUGAUCACCCAGAACUGGUGAAGCUUGGAAGUUGCAAACUUAUCGAGGAAGUCAUGAUUGGAGAAGACAAACUCAUUCACUUUUCUGGGGUUGCCCUUGGUGAGGCUUGUACCAUUGUUUUGCGUGGUGCCACUCAACAAAUUUUAGAUGAAGCAGAAAGAUCAUUGCAUGACGCUCUUUGUGUUCUUGCGCAAACUGUAAAGGACUCUAGAACAGUUUAUGGAGGAGGCUGUUCUGAGAUGUUGAUGGCUCAUGCUGUGACACAGCUUGCCAAUAGAACACCAGGCAAAGAAGCUGUUGCAAUGGAGUCCUAUGCUAAAGCACUGAGAAUGUUGCCAACCAUCAUAGCUGACAAUGCAGGCUAUGACAGUGCAGACCUGGUGGCACAGCUCAGGGCUGCUCACAGUGAAGGCAAUACCACUGCUGGAUUGGGUAAGCAAUCAAGGGGAACUUUGUGGCCGUUGUUAAAAGUAACUCUUUUCACCAAGCUUUUUUUUUUCUUUUGGAACAUAAAGAGUUAAAAUAACAAUAUAAAAGACUCUUUUGGCCUUUGUCCUCAUAAUCAUUACAUGUGCUGGGAAAAUGUGUGUGACUUUAUAUGCUCAGCAUUUCCAAAACUUUGUUUUUCCAUAAGACAUAUAAAACUGGUUAGAAGAUUUGUAACUAUUUGGUAUAUAAUGACUAUAGGAUUUAAAUAUAAACAAUACUUACAUUCUGAAAAAUAACAUAAACUAUUAUGUUGCUUAUACAAUCAGUAUAAACUUCUAAUUUCAUAGUAAACUUACUGCAAGAUAAUCUUGAGUACAGAUCACAGAUCUCCAGUCCAUAGAUAAAAGUGGCCAAUGAGGCAGAUUUAAUUCAUAUUGAAAAACUUUCUGACAAGCUGUGCUGGACAUUAUAGAGUAGUCUUAAGAAGGUAGAUAAUCCUGUCAUUGAACGAGAGGAAGCACCAGUUAAUCUAUGAGAAAAUGAAGCAGGAUUCUCACAAGAAGAGAAGUUGGAUAUGAGGGAAGGCACCAUUGGAGAUAUGGCUAUCCUGGGUAUAACAGAAAGUUUUCAAGUGAAGCGACAGGUUCUUCUGAGUGCAGC